ACGUCCCGUGCUACGUCCCUAACCAAGUUCGCCGUCUCUGACCACAUAGCGUCCGCUUCCCCAGAACUUCUCCAAGCUCCGCCCUCAGCUAACCUCCUUUCCAACUCCUACCUCCACUUUUCCUUCGACUACAUUGUUCCACCACCAGUCACCCUGAUGUAUGCCUGAAUAGCCCUUGGCUACCCCGAGCACGUCCCGUGCUACCUCCCUAACCAAGUUCGUCGUCUCUGACC
rnacentral:lncRNA from 1 species